AAUUUUGUAGUCGGCAUCCUCAGUGGUCUUGAGAGACACAUCCCCAGGAAAAAGAACUUCUGAAAGGCAUCCUAUUCAUUUGCUUUCGGGGACUUUUGACUCAACCACUCUGUCCCAUCUUGUAUCCUAAAGUCACAAUGAGAACUGAAGAGUGGUGCACACAACGUAUAUCAUGAUCUCACCCUGAUGGUGUUUUCUUUCGUAACAUUCAGGUGGCUGUAGGAGCACGGGAGAAAGGUGUCCCUAAGGUGAAAAAGUGGCAGCCCCUUCCUGUCAUGAGUCACCAGGCUGUUGCUGAGGUCGCUGCGGGAGCAACGGAAUAUGGAACCCAUGAAAGGGAAGACCUUUUCAUGGUAGAUGUGACGAUGUGGGACGAUACGGAGGACCAGUCUGUGGCCAAGUUUCGUUGGCCUCUGGAACAACGGAGAAUGGUACAUAUUCUGGAAUCAAUCAUUUGCUGUCUUUAGUCUGGAGAGUCCUUCUGACUUUGGGUUUCCAAUGAAAUGAAGAUCACAGACGUAGUGAAAAAGUGGAUUGUCCAUGGGUAAACCAUGUUCAUGUGUUCACAAGUAGCUGUGUGGCUUUCAGCUGGUGACUUUGUGUGCGUUCAGACUGGCUGCAUCUGUUUGUGAAGUGAGAAGAGUGAUUCUGAGCAGGCAUAUGCUUGUGUGUGGGUCUCUGUGUGAGUAGUUUAUGUUUCCCUGGAUUUACAUCUCCCUAAACAGCACAGUUGCUGGUGUGAACUUUGCCAUUCAUAAGAAAAAUCCCAUCUCACAGCUUCAUGAUGUGUGUCUGUAGGUCAAAGUAUAUAGAAAUGUAAAAUUUAAAUGUGGUUAAAAUCCUGAAAAAAAUCCUAUUACUAGCCAGGGAAAUAUCCACAGGAUUCUGAAAGGCAAAUAUGUUUUCAGAAUCAAUAUGAUGCUGUGAAUCAUGACUUUGGUUCAGGAUAGACCUCAACUCUGAGGAGCCUGUUUCAUUGCCCUCAGUGCACAUGGAUCAAUCCUCAUUAAAGAGAAACAUGCUUAAUGGUAUCUAAUUGGCCUCUGAGAAAGGGAAGCUGGUGGAAGUGAUGAAUUAUGGAGGGGUUGGCACAGCUUGUGGGGAUGGGGGCCACCCCAAUCCCUAGUACCUUCUCUCACACCUCUACUUCCUGAGGAAGACACAAAAUUUCUAUGCUAGGCUGUCAUCAGUAAUAACUUCAAUCCUUUCUCCUGAUCCUCCUCGUGUGGGGCCCAUACCGGUUUCAAGAUCCCACAGUCAUUGCUCUGUCAUACUUCACCAUUAAGGUAAAAGGCACUAAACAAAAGAGAAGGCAAAUGGUGAUGGAUAAUGAGCAGCUUCCCCCCAAGAUGUUGGGGCUAAGCCUCACUCACAUGCUCUGUCUCUUUCUCAAAUAUCAAAAAACAUUAAAACAAAAAAAGAAACCUAUCCCUCCUCUUGGCAAAAGUUACUGAUAACAGUUUAUGUGUUACUUGCAAUACAGAUCAUACUCAACCCAUUGGCAUGCGUAGUAAUGGACAGUCACAUUACCCUAGAUUUCCUGCUGGCUGGUAAUUGGGGCAUCUGUGCCAUUGUUAACACUUUUUGUGCUUGGAACAAUAAAGUAAGGUAGGCAGAACA
ensembl:lncRNA